rnacentral:rRNA from 1 species
AGUGAACGCUGGCGGUAGGCCUAACACAUGCAAGUCGAACGGCAGCACAUUAAGAGCUUGCUCUUACGGGUGGCGAGUGGCGGACGGGUGAGGAAUACAUCGGAAUCUACUUUUUCGUGGGGGAUAACGUAGGGAAACUUGCGCUAAUACCGCAUACGACCUACGGGUGAAAGCAGGGGAUCUUCGGACCUUGCGCGAUUGAAUGAGCCGAUGUCGGAUUAGCGAGUUGGCGGGGUAAAGGCCCACCAAGGCGACGAUCCGUAGCUGGCCUGAGAGGAUGAUCAGCCACACUGGAACUGAGACACGGUCCAGACUCCUACGGGAGGAAGCAGUGGGGAAUAUUGGACAAUGGGCGCAGGCCUGAUCCAGCCAUACCGCGUGGGUGAAGAAGGCCUUGGGGUGGUAAAGCCCUUUUGUUGGGAAAGAAAAGCAGCAGGUUAAUACCCCGCUGUUCUGACGGUACCCAAAGAAUAAGCACCGGCUAACUUCGUG